rnacentral:rRNA from 1 species
AAGUGGAGCAAUCCCUGAGUAAAGUGGCGACCGGGUGAGUAACACGUGACUAACCUACCUUCGAGUGGGGGAUAACCUAGGGAAACCUGGGCUAAUACCGCAUAACAUCUUUGGAGUUGAAAUUCUGGAGAUCAAAAGAGCAAUUUGCUUGAAGAGGGGGUCGCGGCUGAUUAGCUAGUUGGCGGGGUAAUGGCCCACCAAGGCUUUGAUCGGUAGCCGGCCUGAGAGGGCGCACGGCCACACUGGAACUGAAACACGGUCCAGACUCCUACGGGAGGCAGCAGUGGGGAAUUUUGCGCAAUGGGGGAAACCCUGACGCAGCAACGCCGCGUGGAGGAUGAAGUCCCUUGGG